ACUCCAGCCUCAGCGUGGGAGGUCCCGCCCUUCAGGCCCGUGAUUGGUCUGUAGGAGCUCGUCGCGGCUCUAUGGGCUGCUAGAUCUCAACCACUCACCUGAGGCUUUGCCCCAGGGGUUUCUGGGAGAUGUAGUCCAGGGUCCCAGGUGCCCCUCUGAGGCUUUGCGCAUCUCAGCCCGGCGCCCGAAAGUGCGGCCGCAGGGGGUCUCCCCAAGUUUAAAUCCUGGUGUGAAGUUGGCGCUGACCCCAACAUGUUGUAUGAUGUCAAGAGCCCGGUACUUGGGAGUCUUGGAAGACCAGAUCGACUAAUUUUUUGUCGAGAAAACCAAGGAAUGCCAAGGAUUGCCGGCAAACAUCAGAAGCUGGAAGAGACAAGGAAGGAUUCUCCCCUGUAGGGCAGUUUGGAGGAGAGCAGCCCAUGUCACUGGGGCCAUCUGUCAAACAGGAACCCAGAUUUCUUCUAGGCUGUAGCCGUGCCAUCCCUUCGACUUACCAACUAUGAAUGAUGCCUACUGUUCUUCCCUUAAAGACUCCUUAUUUAGUCCAAUAUACUCAGGAAGAGUUAGGGGAAAUUAAUUUGAACACACCUUAGACAAUUCCUUUUUUAAGUAAAAUGUUUUUAUAUCAUCAUGUGCUUUAAUUAUAUUUUCAUCAAAAUACUGGAGCCACAGAUUUACAAUAGAUAAUUGAAAAAAUGGAAAACGUCCCCCAUGUAGCCUAAUUACCCAAGUCAGGCUAAAUGAUUAACUAAAUCAGCCUUACUGUUGUUAAAUAAUAAUAAUAAUAAUAAUAAUAAUAAUCUGACUUCAUUUUCAAUUUCAAAUAAACUCUUAACACAUUUUGAGGAAUAGUAUAAAAACCAGAGAAAUAAAUAUUGCAACAAACCUUGUAAAGGCAGUUAAAAUGCCGUGUGCUAAUAGAAUUAAAAUUUUCAUUAUGUAAAUUUUUCUCAUUUAUUUAUGCAGUGUAAUACGUACCUACACUUUUAAGUUAUUCGUGAAGCAAGGGAGAUGCUAAAAGGAGUGGCACUCCUUUGAUAAGUGUGUGUGCUUAUGUUUAUGUGUACUGAAGUCGUGUUUGGGAAUAAUUAAAUUAAAAUCAUGUAUAAAAUUAGGAAAUAAUUCCAUUAAUUUCCUUAGACAUUCUGAUCAAACUCUUUCAAAGUAUUUAAUGAAAGAGUAAAGUAUAAACCGACCAAAAAUUAAUUGCUCUGGUAUCUAGCAUGAAUUUUAUUUUUUGGCUAACAUGAAAUAGUACAUACUGAAUAUUUUAUAAGAUGAAGUGAGUUCAAGAUUGUCACGGGAAAAUGUUGUAGGUUUGGAUGACUGUGUUUUAAGUGCCUUUUUGUAUAAUACACAUCAAAUCUAAAAGAAAUCAUGUAAACAAUUACCACAGGUUUUAUCUAGUGAAAUUUGAAAACUGUGGUUGUCUCAGAAAGCAUUCCUAUUACCGGCCUGUAAUGCCUUCUUUAUUCAGUGGUGCUUUUCUGAUUGGCUAACUCAUUCUAAGGAUUAUUCUUUUUUUGUUUAAUUUAUUUUAUUGAAGUAUAGUUGAUUCACAAUGCUGUGUUAAUUUCUACUGUACAGCAAAGUGACUCAGUUAUACAUAUAUACAUUCUUUUUCAUAUUUUCCAUUAUGGUUUAUCACAGGAUAUUGAAUAUAGUUCCCUUGUACAGUAGGACCUUGUUGCUUAUCCAUCCUGUAUGUACUAGUUUGCAUCUACUAAUCCCAAAUUCCCAAUCCUUCCCUCCCCUCCCCCACCCUUGGCAACCACAAGUCUGUUCUCUGUGUCUGUGAGUCUAUUUCUGUUUCGUAGAUAAAUUCAUUUGUGUCCUAUUUUAGAUUCCACAUAUAAGUGAUAUCAUAUGGCAUUUGUCUUUCUCUCUCACUUCGUUUAGUAUGAUAAUCUUUAGGUCCAUCCAUGUUGCUGCAAAUGGCAUUAUUUCAUCCUUUUUAUGGCUCAGUAAUAUUCCACUGUAUGUAUGUACCACAUCUUCUUUAUCCAUUCAUCUGUCGAUGGACAUUUAGGUUGUUUCCACGUCUUGGCUAUUGUGAAUAGUGCUGCAAUGAACAUUGGAGUGCGUGUGUCUUUCCAAAUUAUAGUUUUCUCUGGAUAUAU